UUCACUGGAAGCCUAUUUAGGGAUCAGACUUGGAGCUUUAAUUACAAAUACCUUUAUUAUUAUUUUUUUUUAUUUUCCCCCAUUUCUGAAGCUUUAACUCAAUGAAUAAGGAACACUGCUCUUCACCUUUUCCACAGUGAAGAGAGAGUUACUCAGAAUGAAGCCCUGACCCGCCUGUAAGGCAUCUCAGUGCUUCCUCCAUUUGCAUGAGUGUAGCAUCUCUGUGACUUGUUUAGUUUUGUCCUCGGAAUCCAUCUCUUCCCUCUCAGUUUUCUGGACUAGAUACAACUGGAAUUAUUGGUGUGGCUUCCCUAUAAGCAGGUAUGGUUGGAAAUCUUAUACCAGGGAGCUAAUUAGAAUCAUUUGAAGUGUGUUCAAGCCAGCCAAGUAUUUCAGCUCUUCUGAGUCACAGCAAGAUUUGUUUUCGAAGAUUUAUCACUAAAUGGGUAUUAACUGCUCUUUGUGCCGCCAAAGCUUGGUCACUUGAUGGGCUUAAUAGUCUGCUGGAAAGAGCUGGGUGUCUUUCCAAGACUCUGCCCAUCAGAUAAAUGUAUUUGUCCAUUUAUGUCCUUUUCCCAAGUUUGAGUAAUAACAUGGAAAUGCAAAGAGGGACUGCUGGACGCUGGGUCACGUAAUACCUUUCUAUAAAGGGAUAUUUCAUUCAGCACUGGAAAGCAAUUUAUCUUCAAAAAUUAUGUUCAGGUGUCAUUUGGUACAUGUUUGGGAUGAUUUAGUCUUACCGCUUCCAUAAGUACUCACUAGUAUAGUCUGAAGCUCUACUACUUGGCAACAGUAGCUGCAGCUUGCCUUGGUUUGCAGAUUUCUUCACUCUUCCCUUCUGCUAUCAUCUCACAUCACUUUUUUUCAAAGUCUUCUUAGAUAAGCUAUCAGCAAGUUCCAGGGCCAUAUAGGAAACAUGACAGGCUUGCAAAUUAUGUCUUAUCUUGUGUAGAUGUACUCUUGUGACACCACAGAGUACACAGGAUAAGACCUUUCUGUGUACCUUAGAGACCAGCAGUUUCUGCUG
rnacentral:lncRNA from 1 species